rnacentral:misc_RNA from 1 species
AUUUUGUAUCUCAGCAAGUAAAGCUGCAGUUUAACAACUUGUAGAAGAUCACUAAGAACAUGAUUAUGAUAAAACAUAUUUAAAAUUUAAAUAUUCAUAUCCAAUGCAUAACUAUACCACAAACAAAUAGUCCAAGAAAUAUAAAACCAUAAAAUUUCUAACAGUGUAUGAUUUAUGUUAUCUACCUAAUAAUUCAGCAACUUUAAUACCUAAUCCAAUGAAACCAAGUGGCAAAAACAAAAACAUGAUCUGCUUACUCAAAUCUUUAUUGUCUUUUUGAAUGGGACAGCUAAUCUGAAUUCUGACUACAGUUAAAAUCUUAGAUUAAUUAUGCUUCAGUAAAGUUACAAUCUAUACGUGAUGCUUCACAAAAUCAAGAUGAAGUUAGAUGCUGAUCCAAACAUCAAGUUGAGUUUACAGGAAAAUGACCAGAUUUGCAAUUAAAAAAUGAGUACAUUAUCAAACCAAUUAACGUUAGUGACAAAAGUUAAACCCACUAUCAUGUACAAUUUUCUUCUCUCAAACAUAUUGAAUGUAUCCUUUACAUCAUCCUGGUCAUAGGUCAUAUCCCUUUAAUACCUUAAGA